rnacentral:tRNA from 1 species
GCGGCCGUAGCUCAAUGGCAGAGCGCUCGCUUCCCAAGCCAGAUACGCGGGUUCGAUUCCCGUCGCCCCCUC